rnacentral:rRNA from 1 species
UACGUAGGGUGCGAGCGUUUAAUCGGAAUUACUGGGCGUAAAGCGUGCGUAGACGGUUAUUUAAGUCGGGUGUGAAAGCCCCGGGCUCAACCUGGGAAUUGCAUUCGAGACUGAAUAGCUAGGGUACGGUAGAGGGAAGCGGAAUUUCCGGUGUAGCGGUGAAAUGCGUAGAUAUCGGGAGGAACACCAGUGGCGAAGGCGACUUCCUGGCCUGUUCUUGACGCUGAGGCGCGAAAGCUAGGGUAGCAAACGGG